GCAUAUCAAUAAGCGGAGGAAAAGAAACCAACAGGGAUUGCCUCAGUAACGGCGAGUGAAGCGGCAACAGCUCAAAUUUGAAAUCUGGCCUUCGGGCCCGAGUUGUAAUUUGCAGAGGAUGCUUUGGGCAAGGCGCCGUCCGAGUUCCCUGGAACGGGACGCCGGAGAGGGUGAGAGCCCCGUACGGUCGGACGCCGAGCCUAUGUAAAGCUCCUUCGACGAGUCGAGUAGUUUGGGAAUGCUGCUCUAAAUGGGAGGUAAAUCUCUUCUAAAGCUAAAUAUGGGCCACAGACCGAUAGCGCACAAGUAGAGUGAUCGAAAGAUGAAAAGCACUUUGAAAAGAGAGUUAAACAGCACGUGAAAUUGUUGAAAGGGAAGCGCUUGCGACCAGACGUGUGCCGGGUGAAUCAGCCAGCGUUCGCGCUGGUGCACUUCGCCCGGCACAGGCCAGCAUCGGUUCGCCGCUGGGGAGAAAGGCAGUGGGAAUGUGGCUCUUCGGAGUGUUAUAGCCCGCUGUGCAAUACCCUCUGGCGGACCGAGGUUCGCGCUCCGCAAGGAUGCUGGCGUAAUGGUCAUCAGCGACCCGUCUUGAAACACGGACCAAGGAGUCGUCCUAGUAUGCGAGUGUUUGGGUGCCAAACCCCUACGCGAAAUGAAAGUGAACGGAGGUGAGAGCUUCGGCGCAUCAUCGACCGAUCCUGAUGUCUUCGGAUGGAUUUGAGUACGAGCAUACUGGGCCGGACCCGAAAGAAGGUGAACUAUGCCUGUAUAGGGUGAAGCCAGAGGAAACUCUGGUGGAGGCUCGCAGCGGUUCUGACGUGCAAAUCGAUCGUCAAAUAUGGGCAUGGGGGCGAAAGACUAAUCGAACCUUCUAGUAGCUGGUUUCCGCCGA
rnacentral:rRNA from 1 species